ensembl:lncRNA
CACUAAGACGCUGUUUUGAAACAUUACACGCGUGUGUGUAUGUGUGUGUGUCGGUGUGUGUGUGUGUGUGUGUGUGUGUGCCGGUGCCUACCAUUUGCUCAUCCUAAACCUGUAUUGACUGGCCAGCCUCAGCGGGUUAGCGGAGACAGGAAGUUAUUGUUCCUCCCGAGUUGGUGUCAGUGUGGCAGCGGUCUUUAUCGAUCCAAUUCCCAGUCGAUUAUCCCUCAGGACAUUUGAUUAAUACCUCUAAGAGGUUUGAAACUGCGGUUUAUGAGGGUUUGUUUGACGACCAAAACUAAAUAGUGUCUGUCUCACUAUUCUCUGACCACCUGACCCCAUGUAUGGCAGGCAACUGCAAGCCCGUUCAUAACAGCGGCACUGCAGAAGUACAUGUUGCAAAUGAAGCAUCCUAUUGGGUAUUCAAAGGAGCAAGACAUUGUGGAAGUGACCCAAUGUCCUUUAAGGUGGCAAGACGGCCUUAGUCUUUGGAGAGAAGUGGACUUGAUCCCUGCAUUCAGCCAUAUCCCCUGAGGAAGCGACACCGAAUCCCAGCCUGAUCCCGUCUCAUCUCUAAAACAUAAAUAACAGCUAUGGGGUUCACGAUCUGCAACCAAGACGACGUCAGCUUGAACCUGGUGUGAGCCUGUGAAUGUGAACCCCUCCUCAUCAGAUAAGCUUCACAACGUGUGAAAGCACAGAGAAGAAUCUACAUCAGAUGUUGAACUGGCACAUUCAUUUGUGUCUACAUGUUGUAUAUUGCAAUGAUGCUGUAUUUUUGUGUGAUAAAUGUACAUACCAAAAAAGCAUAGAAACAAAUGAGUCUACUUUUAAAUGCAGCAUUAAAAAUGAUGUUUGUUGAAAGUGAACUUACAGCUAUUUAUUUAUUCAUUCAGUGUCUAUAAGAGUACAGUUGUAAACAA